rnacentral:lncRNA from 1 species
AUGUGGAUGUGACUGGGAGAAUCUACUGGAGGAGGAAGCAGACAAUGUGGAUGUGACUGGGAGAAUCUACUGUGGAAGGAAAUAGACAAUGUGGAUGUGACUGGGAGAAUCUACUGGGGGAGGAAGUAGACAAUGUGGAUGUGACUGGGAGAAUCUACUGGAGGAGGAAGUAGACAAUGUGGAUGUGACUGGGAGAAUCUACUGGGGAAGGAAGCAGACAAUGUGGAUGUGACUGGGAGAAUCUACUGGGGAAGGAAGUAGACAAUGUGGAUGUGACUGGGAGAAUCUAUUGGAGGAGGAAGUAGACAAUAUGGAUGUGAGGGAAACAAUCUACUGGAGGAGGAAGUAGACUAUGUGGAUGUGAGGGGAACAAUAUACUGGUUACUGUACCAGCACCAACUCUCUCUCUCCUUCUGUGUGUGUGUGUGUGUGUGUGUGUGUGUGUGUGUGUGUGUGUGUGUGUGUGUGUGUGUGUGUGUGUGUGUGUGUGUGUGUGUGUGUGUGUGUGUGUGUGUGUGUGUGUGUGUGUGUGUGUGUGUGUAAGCGGAAAACUCCUCUUGCACAGUAACUUAUCCGCACAAUACUAUUUAACUUUUUUUAUCCUUUUGAGUUGUUUCUGUAAACUUUUUAAAACUCUUUAAUUGCAAGGCUAGGGGAAAAACAAAUGACAGGCAAAACUAUUGUAUUUAAAUUCCGAGAAUGUAAUGAAACAUAAAUGUAUAAUGCAUCUGGCUGGGGACACUGGAGUGUAGUGUGAAUAAUUAACAAUGUUAUAUUAUCCUGCUGUUAGAAACUCCUCAGCUAUCCUACUUUAAAAUGCUGCUGCUCAUUUCAUUGUGGAUCUGUUUUUUUCAUUAAAGCAUCAGGAAAAUAA